CAGCAGCCGCGGUAAUACGUAGGUGGCAAGCGUUGUCCGGAAUUAUUGGGCGUAAAGGGCUCGCAGGCGGUUUCUUAAGUCUGAUGUGAAAGCCCCCGGCUCAACCGGGGAGGGUCAUUGGAAACUGGGAAACUUGAGUGCAGAAGAGGAGAGUGGAAUUCCACGUGUAGCGGUGAAAUGCGUAGGGAUGUGGAGGAACACCAGUGGCGAAGGCGACUCUCUGGUCUGUAACUGACGCUGAGGAGCGAAAGCGUGGGGAGCGAACAGGACUAGAUACCCGCGUAGUCCCUGUCUCUUAUAC
rnacentral:rRNA from 1 species